GAUGAACGCUGGCGGCGUGCCUAAUACAUGCAAGUCGAGCGAACAGACGAGGAGCUUGCUCCUCUGACGUUAGCGGCGGACGGGUGAGUAACACGUGGAUAACCUACCUGUAAGACUGGGAUAACUUCGGGAAACCGGAGCUAAUACCGGAUAAUAUAUUGAACCGCAUGGUUCAAUAGUGAAAGACGGUUUUGCUGUCACUUAUAGAUGGAUCCGCGCCGCAUUAGCUAGUUGGUAAGGUAACGGCUUACCAAGGCGACGAUGCGUAGCCGACCUGAGAGGGUGAUCGGCCACACUGGAACUGAGACACGGUCCAGACUCCUACGGGAGGCAGCAGUAGGGAAUCUUCCGCAAUGGGCGAAAGCCUGACGGAGCAACGCCGCGUGAGUGAUGAAGGUCUUCGGAUCGUAAAACUCUGUUAUUAGGGAAGAACAAAUGUGUAAGUAACUAUGCACGUCUUGACGGUACCUAAUCAGAAAGCCACGGCUAACUACGUG
rnacentral:rRNA from 1 species